CCCUUAGAUGUUCUGGGCAGCACGCGCGCUACAAUGGUCUUCGCAAACGGAUGCAUUCUCGAAGGAGAAUGCCAAUCUUGGAAUCUAUGCCUUGGUCGGGGCAGUUGCUUGCAAUUUUUCGACUCGAACCAGGAAUUCCUUGUAAUCGUGAUUCAUCACAUCACGAUGAAUACGUCCCUGCCCUUUGUACACACCGCCCGUCGCUCCUACCGAUUGGGUGUGCUGGUGAAAUGUUCGGAUCGGCCGUUUGUCGCGGUUUCCGCGUCAUGUGGCUGAGAAGUUCAUUAAACCCUCCCACCUAGAGGAAGGAGAAGUCGUAACA
rnacentral:rRNA from 1 species